GAUGAACGCUGGCGGCGUGCUUAACACAUGCAAGUCGAACGAAGCUGUUAAAAGGAAGUCUUCGGAUAGAAUUUUAACAGACUUAGUGGCGGACGGGUGAGUAACGCGUGGAUAACCUGCCUUAUACAGGGGGAUAACGGAGAGAAAUUUCCGCUAAGACCGCAUAAGACCACAGCACCGCAUGGUGCAGGGGUAAAAUAUUAAUAGGUAUAAGAUGGAUCCGCGUCCGAUUAGCUCGUUGGUGAGGUAGAGGCUCACCAAGGCGACGAUCGGUAGCCGGCCUGAGAGGGUGAACGGCCACAUUGGGACUGAGACACGGCCCAAACUCCUACGGGAGGCAGCAGUGGGGAAUAUUGGACAAUGGGGGAAACCCUGAUCCAGCGACGCCGCGUGAGUGAAGAAGUAUUUCGGUAUGUAAAGCUCUAUCAGCAGGGAAGAAAANGACG
rnacentral:rRNA from 1 species